CCCCUCUCGGGAUCACACCUGUAGAGUUUCCAGCACUCUACCAGUCUCAAUUAUGGAAGGGAGAGUCAAGCAGAGGCAUACCUAUUCCAUUCCUAGCUUGGGCAGUGGCUAGUGAGUGGAAGGCAAUUUGCUACAAGU